AUUGAACGCUGGCGGCAGGCCUAACACAUGCAAGUCGAGCGAGCGGCGGACGGGUGAGUAAUGUCUGGGAAACUGCCUGAUGGAGGGGGAUAACAACUGGAAACGGUAGCUAAUACCGCAUACCAUCAGAUGUGCCCAGAUGGGAUUAGCUAGUUGGUGGGGUAACGGCUCACCUAGGCGACGAUCCCUAGCUGGGCUGAGAGGAUGACCAGCCACACUGGAACUGAGACACGGCCCAGACUCCUACGGGAGGCAGCAGUGGGGAAUUUUGGACAAUGGGGGAAAGCCUGAUCCAGCCAUGCCGCGUGUGUGAAGAAGGCCUUCGGGUUGUAAAGCACUUUUGGCGGGGAAGCGGUAUCUGCAGAAUAAGCACCGGCUAACUCCGUGCCAGCAGCCGCGGUAAUUC
rnacentral:rRNA from 1 species